rnacentral:rRNA from 1 species
AUUGAACGCUGGCGGCAGGCCUAACACAUGCAAGUCGAACGAGUGGCGGACGGGUGAGUAAUGUCUGGGAAACUGCCUGAUGGAGGGGGAUAACUACUGGAAACGGUAGCUAAUACCGCAUACCAUCGGAUGUGCCCAGAUGGGAUUAGCUAGUAGGUGGGGUAACGGCUCACCUAGGCGACGCUCCCUAGCUGGUCUGAGAGGAUGACCAGCCACACUGGAACUGGGACACGGUCCAGACUCCUACGGGAGGCAGCAGUGGGGAAUAUUGCACGAUGGGCGCAAGCCUGAUGCAGCCAUGCCGCUUGUAUGAAGAAGGCCUUCGGGUUGUAAAGUACUUUCAGCGGGGAGGCGUUACCCGCAGAAGAAGCACCGGCUAACUCCGUGCCAGCAGCCGCGGUAAUUC